CUCUUAUCGAGAGUUGGCUGAGGGAUUUGGCCCUGAGACGCCCGGCAACCGACCUUCCGUGAUCAAGCGGAAACCUCCUAGAAGGUGUAAGGCACGGUGCUACUUCCAACAGGUAUUUUCACCUGAGAGAUAAGAG
rnacentral:ncRNA from 2 species